rnacentral:rRNA from 1 species
CCUACGGGAGGCAGCAGUGAGGAAUAUUGGUCAAUGGACGAGAGUCUGAACCAGCCAAGUAGCGUGAAGGAUGACUGCCCUAUGGGUUGUAAACUUCUUUUAUAUGGGAAUAAAACGUUCCACGUGUGGGAUUUUGUAUGUACCCUAUGAAUAAGGAUCGGCUAACUCCGUGCCAGCAGCCGCGGUAAUACGGAGGAUCCGAGCGUUAUCCGGAUUUAUUGGGUUUAAAGGGAGCGUAGGUGGAUUGUUAAGUCAGUUGUGAAAGUUUGCGGCUCAACCGUAAAAUUGCAGUUGAAACUGGCAGUCUUGAGUACAGUAGAGGUGGGCGGAAUGCGUGGUGUAGCGGUGAAAUGCUUAGAUAUCACGAAGAACUCCGAUUGCGAAGGCAGUUCACUGGACUGAAACUGACACUGAGGCUCGAAAGUGUGGGUAUCAAACAGGAUUAGAUACCCUUGUAGUC